GGUUCGAUCCUGGCUCAGAUUGAACGCUGGCGGGAUGCUUUACACAUGCAAGUCGAACGGCAGCACGGACUUCGGUCUGGUGGCGAGUGGCGAACGGGUGAGUAAUGUAUCGGAACGUGCCUAGUAGGGGGAUAACUACGCGAAAGCGUAGCUAAUACCGCAUAUUGCCUUCGGGGGAAAGCGGGGACCUUCGGGCCUCGCACUAUUAGAGCGGCCGAUAUCGGAUUAGCUAGCUGGUGGGGUAACGGCUCACCAAGGCGACGAUCCGUAGCUGGUUUGAGAGGACGACCAGCCACACUGGGACUGAGACACGGCCCAGACUCCUACGGAGGCAGCAGUGGGGAAUUUUGGACAAUGGGGGAAAUCCCUGAUCCAGCCAUCUCAAGUGUGUGCGAUGAAGGCCUUCGCUUGUAAAGCACUUUGGCAGGAAAGAAACGGUACGGGAUAAUACCCCGUGCAACUGACGGUACCUGCAGAAUAAGCACCGGCUAAUCACGCUUGCAGCCGCGGUAAUACGUAGGGUGCAAGCGUUAAUCGGAAUUACUGGGCGUAAAGCGUGCGCAGGCGGUUCGAAAGAAAGAUGUGAAAUCCCAGAGCUUAACUUUGAACUGCAUUUUUAACUACCGAGCUAGAGUGUGUCAGAGGGAGGUGGAAUUCCCGCGUGUAGCAGUGAAAUGCGUAGAUAUGCGAGGAACACCGAUGGCGAAGGCAGCCUCCUGGGAUAACACUGACGCUCAUGCACGAAAGCGUGGGGAGCAAACAGGAUUAGAUACUCCUGGUAGUCCACGCUCUAAACGAUGUCAACUAGCUGUUGGGGCUCUCGGGCCUUGCAGCGCAGCUAACGCGUGAAGUUGACCGCCUGGGGAGUACGGUCGCAAGAUUAAAACUCAAAGGAAUUGACGGGGACUCCCGCACAAGCGUGGUGGAUGAUGUGGAUUAAUUGAUGCAACGCGAAAACCUUACCUACUCCUUGACAUGUCUGGAAUCCCGAAGAGAUUUGGGAGUGCUCGCAAGAGAACCGGAACACAGGUGCUGCAUGGUUGUCGUCAGCUCGUGUCGUGAGAUGUUGGGUUAAGUCCCGCAACGAGCGGCAACCCUUGUCAUUAGUUGCUACGAAAGGGCACUCUAAUGAGACUGCCGGUGACAAACCGGAGGAAGGUGGGGAUGACGUCAGUCCUCAUGGCCUCAGGGUAGGGCUUCAAGACGUUAUACAAUGUACCGACAGAGGGUCGCCAACCCGCGAGGGGGGAGCCAAUCCCAGAAACCCGAUCGUAGUCCGAUCGCAGUCUGCAACUCGACUGCGUGAAGUCGGAAUCGCUAGUAAUCGCGGAUCAGCAUGUCGCGGUGAAUACGUUCCCGGUCUUGAAGCACACCGCCCGUCACACCAUGGGAGUGGGUUUUACCAGAAGUAGUUAGCCUAACCGUAAGGGGAGGGCGAUUACCACGGUAGGAUUCAUGACUGGGGUGAAGUCGUAACAAGGUAA
rnacentral:rRNA from 1 species